AACAAGCGAAUAAGCAUUAUAUAGCUUAUGAUUAUUAUAUUUUCUUUAUUUGGUAUUGCAAUUCAUCACCUAUGUUUUUACAAAAAAUGUCUGAAUGUACACAACUUUGGGAUAAUGCCUACUAUAAUAUACAUAUGUCUGAAUCGAAAACAUUUAUUCACCACACAUUUGAAAAAUUUAAUGUGUAUAUGUAAAGAAGGCGAUGAAGAUGUGAUUACAGCCAGACCAAGACGCAUGUCUGAAGUCAAUACAGCUACAAAAAUUCAGCCCAUUCCAGAGGGUUCAUCUUUCUUCAUAAUGUCUCAGACAAACAGGUUUCGUGUCUUUUGCCAUUGGCUCUGCAAUCAUAGUAACUUUGGAAACGUUAUAUUAUGUUGUAUUAUGUUCUCCUCAGCAAUGUUGGCAGCAGAGGAUCCUUUACGGUCAGAUGCCGAUCGCAACAAAGUACUAAAUAAGUUUGAUUAUUUUUUCACGGGUGUCUUCACAAUAGAACUGUUACUAAAAUUGAUUUCAUAUGGCUUCGUGCUGCAUGACGGAGCCUUUUGCAGAUCUGCAUUUAAUCUUCUUGAUUUACUUGUAGUCUGCGUUUCCUUAAUAUCAAUUCAGUCCAGGUACUUAUAUUCAGUGAGCCGAUUUGUGUGCAAAUUUCGUGAAGCUGUUGGUCUUGCAUACGAUAUGUUUAUUGUUGUUGUGCCUAAAACCAAACGUCUAUUUGCAUUGCGUUUUUAUUCUUCUUUCUCCAUUCUUCGACCGCUAUUUGACUUUGCUUGCAGUCUUACAAUUUAUUUGUUGUUUUAAAAAAAAUUUCCACAACCGAUAGCUUCAAGUGUUUUUUCUUUCUGUUUUUAAAUGCUUAUAAUCGCAAAUAGUCCAAACGCUGCUCACUUGAGCUUGUGUAUUAGCUUGUUAAGUUUUCACAAUUUUUGCAUAAUUUUAAUUAUUAACAAAAGGAAGUUUUUGCGAAGGUUCGUUUAAAGAAUCAUUUUCUUUGACUCCGCGACUGCGCCACUAACAUAAACCACAAUUUAAAGGUUUAUUAUUAUAAUUUUAUUCACUAACAUAAACCACAAUGUAAAGGUUUAUAAUUUUAUUCACAAUGGUCUUCACACACGUGUAAGUAGUUUGAAAUAAAAAAGAAGAGUAAGUGAGGAAGAACUUAAAAGCUAGGAACUUACUCUAAAGUAGUAAUUGAAAUUAUACUAUAUACAGUUAGAGAGAAUAACAAUGUUUUAGGGAAUUGUUGUAGAGACAUAAUGUCACUUGUAUAUGAUAGUAAAUAAAUACCUGUAUUACAUUUUUUGGAAUC